AAUGGGAAGAGAGAGCUUCCAUCAGCCCACUUACGGAUAGGAACAAGGGGGUUGGACUAGCUGCCGACUCAUUCAUUCAAGCACUCAGUAGAAAACGGAUAUUGGCGAUUUUGCUACUGUGAUUGUGUGAAUGAUGCGGGAGAUGGUUUUGCAUCCCCCUUUCUCCGUGCUUGGACUGAAGGGAGCUCCUUCUUUCUCUUCA
rfam:Gossypium raimondii Chr12_contig_36, whole genome shotgun sequence.